rnacentral:rRNA from 1 species
CGAUGAACCACUUCGGUGGGGAUUAGUGGCGAACGGGUGAGUAACACGUGGGCAAUCUGCCCUGCACUCUGGGACAAGCCCUGGAAACGGGGUCUAAUACCGGAUAAUACUCCUGCACUCAUGUGUGGGGGUUAAAAGCUCCGGCGGUGCAGGAUGAGCCCGCGGCCUAUCAGCUUGUUGGUGAGGUAAUGGCUCACCAAGGCGACGACGGGUAGCCGGCCUGAGAGGGCGACCGGCCACACUGGGACUGAGACACGGCCCAGACUCCUACGGGAGGCAGCAGUGGGGAAUAUUGCACAAUGGGCGAAAGCCUGAUGCAGCGACGCCGCGUGAGGGAUGACGGCCUUCGGGUUGUAAACCUCUUUCAGCAGGGAAGAAGCGAAAGUGACGGUACCUGCAGAAGAAGCGCCGGCUAACUACGUGCCAGCAGCCGCGGUAAUACGUAGGGCGCAAGCGUUGUCCGGAAUUAUUGGGCGUAAAGAGCUCGUAGGCGGCUUGUCACGUCGGGUGUGAAAGCCCGGGGCUUAACCCCGGGUCUGCAUUCGAUACGGGCUAGCUAGAGUGUGGUAGGGGAGAUCGGAAUUCCUGGUGUAGCGGUGAAAUGCGCAGAUAUCAGGAGGAACACCGGUGGCGAAGGCGGAUCUCUGGGCCAUUACUGACGCUGA